rnacentral:tRNA from 1 species
GCUGUAACUCAGUGGCAGAGCACCUGCCUUGCAUGCAGAAGGAGCCAGGUUCAGUCCCCAGCAUCUCCA